rnacentral:rRNA from 1 species
AGAACGAACGCUGGCGGCAUGCCUAACACAUGCAAGUCGAACGAGCUCUUUGGAGCUAGUGGCGCACGGGUGCGUAACGCGUGGGAAUCUGCCCUUGGGUUCGGGAUAACAGUUGGAAACGACUGCUAAUACCGGAUGAUGACUUCGGUCCAAAGAUUUAUCGCCCAGGGAUGAGCCCGCGUCGGAUUAGCUAGUUGGUGGGGUAAAAGCCUACCAAGGCAACGAUCCGUAGCUGGUCUGAGAGGAUGAUCAGCCACACUGGGACUGAGACACGGCCCAGACUCCUACGGGAGGCAGCAGUGGGAAUAUGGACAAUGGGCGAAAGCCUGAUCCAGCAAUGCCGCGUGAGUGAUGAAGGCCUUAGGUGUAAGCUCUUUUACCGGGAUGAUAAUGACAGUACCGGAGAA